AUGGUGGUGGUAUUAUCAGCAACUUCCCAGAGCCUCAAAUAUCCCAGCAAUCAAAGAAUCAUACAACUGAAGUUCCCAAUUCAGGUAAAGCCAUUUUGAAAUAUGGAGAAGAGAUCAGCUUUUCUGGUGAAAAGAAAACCUCAUGGUCUGGAAGUACUAGCAAACCUAGUGUGGAAUUCAAGUAUGACAGAACCCAAACAAGCGAACCUAAGGAACUUGACCGACAACUUAAGACGAGUACCGCGUUCUUCAAAGAAAAUGCAGAAGAGUUUUGCUUUUCUGGUGAAAAGAAAACCUCUUGGUCUGGAAGUACUAGCAAACCUAGUGUGGAAUUCAAGUAUGACAGAACCCAAACAAGUGAACCUAAGGAACUUGACCAACAACUUAAGACGAGUACCACAUUCUUCAAAGAAAAUGCAGCAGAGAAUCCUUGGCCAAGAAUCGAAGAACCAACAAAUC
rnacentral:lncRNA from 1 species